AGUAAUAGUUAUGUUCUUGAAACUUAAAAAAUUUGGCGGUAUUUUAGUCUAUUCAGAGGAACCUGUCCUGUAAUCGAUAAUCCACGAUGGACCUUACUUAAGUUAGUUAAUCAGUUUAUAUACCGUCGUUAUAAGAAUAUUUUAUUAGAAUAAUAAUUUUCUAGAAUUUUUAUAAAAAUUAAUAUCAGAUCAAGGUGUAGCUUAUGUUUAAGUAGAGAUGGGUUACAAUAAAUUUAUUUAAAUGGAUUAAUUUUUGAAAUAAAAUUAUGAAGGUGGAUUUGAAUGUAAAAUUAUAAAGAUAAAUAAUUUGAUUUUAGCUCUAAAAUAUGUACAUAUCGCCCGUCACUCUUAUUAUUAAGGUAAGAUAAGUCGUAACAUAGUAGAUGUACUGGAAAGUGUAUCUAGAAUGCAAUUUAAAGCUUAAAUAGUAAAGCAUUUCAUUUACAUUGAAAAGAUUUUUGUGCAAUUCAAUAUAGAUUGAGUAAUUUUUAUUUAUUAAUAAAUUUAUUUUUUUUAUAUUUUAUAUUAGAAAUAACUAUAAAAUUAAAUGUUUUAGUAUUAUAUAAAGAAUAAAUAAUAUUUAUAAUAGUAUAUUAGUAUUGUGAAAGAAAAUUGAAAUAAUUUGAAAAA
rnacentral:rRNA from 1 species